rnacentral:lncRNA from 1 species
AGGGUGGAUCCUUAAGAGUCCGUUGAUUUCCGCUGCUGUGCGUAGAUACAGAUGUAAUGGGCUCAGGGAGGCUGAUUCCCCGUUAACAGCACCUCGCUGAAGGAUGUGCCAUAGAAGUGUUUCUUGAGAUACCACCUCGUCAUGUAACCACCACUACCAAGUGCUUCUGGAGUCUGUGCUUUAACACCAGCAAAGAUUGAGAUGCUCAGCAUGCUCUGAAGUUGUUUCCUGUUAGGUGGUUUGGUGUGCUUAGAUCAUUUUACCAACCGCAGAAGUAGACACCUGCUCUGUGAAAGUACACAAAGAUGCUCCCAGAGGUUUUGCUGAGAUGCCAAAGACAAGUCUUUUGUUGUCAGACUCAUUGGAGAAGAGUUACCCCAGCUGCCUCCCUGUGUUACGGGCUCUGUUUUACCAGCAGGCCCUAGUCACAUGCUUAGGGCAGCUGAACUGAGCAGAAAGUGAAAACCUUCCCCACUCUUCCCCACCCACUGUCUAACAGGCAUAUCACAAAACCAUUCAAACCUGCUUUUCUCAAACCUGCACUAUUUUUCCAUUUCAAGUCAGUGACGACUCUACUUUCUAGUUGGUCAGGCCCCAAACCAUGAAAUCAUUUUGAUUCCUUUUCCUAAAACCCACAUUCCAGCAGCAUUCUGCUGACCUCAAGAAGACAAAGUCCACCGAUGCAUAAGCGUCUCCAUCACUUACCACUACCUCCCAAGGCUAACCCAUCAUCUCACCUCAGCCCACAGCUGCAUGUCUCCCUUUGUCUUGCCUUCCACAUGCUAAGACAAUAGUGCUCAAAACCCUCCGAUGCCUUCGCCUCUCACCCCUAAAUCUGGCACCUCACUGAUCUUAUUCCUCUUUGGCCAUACCAGACCCCUUUGCUGUUCCCCAAAAGUGCAGCCCUUUAGUCUGGAUCAUGCUGUGCCACUUAGAUCUUUCCGGUCUCCGCUAGAAGAGGUCUUCCGUGAUCACAUAAGGAGCACUGCCCACAUCCACCUCUUUAUAAAAUAGCGCCUGUCCCCUCUCCCUGCCGUAUUUUUCUUCUUAGUAUGCAUCACUACCAGAAGUAAGGAUUUACUUGUUUCUUGUUAGUAGCUUUUCACACCCAGCCCCUACCCCUAAAGAAAAUAUAAAUUCCAUGAAAGCAGGAACUUGGCUUUUGUUCCCUGCUGUGCCUCCCAUCUCCUUAGAAUAAUGGCUGGACAUUAUAUAAAUCUGGUGAAUGAAUACAGUGCUAUAAUCCU